CGGCGGAAAGUGAGUAAUGAGUCCGUGUCCCCAGCGAAGAGGCGAAGAACUUGCCGUGCACACCGAGUACUUGUGUCUGCCGGCUGUCCUGCCGCUUUUCCUUAGUAUUGUUGUUCUUGGUGUCGCCACUCCUUUUCUUUUUAAUUUUUUUUUUUUUUAAAUUUUUCCUGGGUUUCCUUUUUCUUUUUUUUUGCUUUUUUUUAGUUACUUUAAAAAAUUGUUUUCUUCCAUUUUUCCGCGGAGGGAGGGGUGACUGCCUGGCUGGCUGGCGGGUCUGUUGCAAAAAGCGAGAGAGAAAAUCAAAACCAAAACAAAAAAAAAGCCAAAAAAGAAAAAAAAGAAAGGCAGGAAAAAAAAAAAAAAGCCAAACAAAACCAAACCAAAAACCAAACCAAACAAAAAACAAAAAACUUCACUCGGAUCUGAAAGUGGCAGGAAAGUGCCUGGCAAGUUGCAGGGAUGGAGCUACACAGCUUGCAGGAGGCGUUAAAAGUGGAAAUCCAAUGUCACCAGAAACUAGUUGCACAGAUGAAGCAAGAUCCACAGAACGGAGAUCUUAAGAAACAAAUCCAUGAAAGGCAAUCAAGAAUAGCAGCUCUUAAUGAGAAACAAGACUCUGGGUGGAAUAGUCAAGUUCACUUCAGUCCAACAGCAUCAGUACUCUGAAACUGCCUGUUCAUCUGCCUGAAACUCCUUUCCAGAACACGCAGAUCUCUGGCACAGGUGAAAGUCUCCAGUAGAAGGGAACUUGUUAAAAAUGUAUAGAAUGGUUCACUUUUUAAAGGAAGAAGUUCCAUUACUUUCUCUUUUUUCUGUGUGAAGGAAAAUCAUAUAUUUACAAAUGUAAUUACAGAUUUGGAAACCACAUGUCAAUUAUUUUCUAUUAAAGGAGCUUCCAGAAGCCUUUUAGGAGUCUCUUGAUGUUAACUCAGGCACAGAAAUGCAGGGAAGAACUUAUGUCUGAAGAGCUUUCAGUUUAGAAAAAGACAGGGUAUAGUUCCAGAGAGUAGCAGUUGAGGCUCAGAGGUAUUUAACUAGGCAGCCAAGGUUGUGCUGGGAAAUUUGCAGCCAAGCUGGAAACUGAAUCCAGGGCUUCUGUGUCUAGUUUAUCAGUUUAUUCACAUGGGCAUACUCUAAAGGUACUGUUCUUCUACACUUCUUCUGGGAGGGAUGUGAGCAUGCUCUGUCUCCUAAAUGAAAACAUUCAGUAUGCCAAAUAGUCUUCCUGGUGGCAUUUUCUACUAGUUCUGUUGCAGUGUGAAAUAAAUGAAAAAAAAAGGCCACUGGCCUCUUCAAACAGCCACAACAACAACAACAAC